UUGGCGUCAGGAUGAACGCUGCGGCGUGCCUAAUACAUGCAAGUCACGAAACUUCUUUAUCACCGAGUGCUUGCACUCACCGGUAAGAGUUGAGUGGCGAACGGGUGAGUAACACGUGGGCAACCUGCCCAAAAGAGGGGGAUAACACUUGGAAACAGGUGCUAAUACCGCAUAACCAUAGUUACCGCAUGGUAACUAUGUAAAAGGUGGCUAUGCUACCGCUUUUGGAUGGGCCCGCGGCGCAUUAGCUAGUUGGUGGGGUAAAGGCUUACCAAGGCAAUGAUGCGUAGCCGAACUGAGAGGUUGAUUGGCCACAUUGGGACUGAGACACGGCCCAAACUCCUACGGGAGGCAGCAGUAGGGAAUCUUCCACAAUGGGCGAAAGCCUGAUGGAGCAACGCCGCGUGGGUGAAGAAGGUCUUCGGAUCGUAAAACCCUGUUGUUAGAGAAGAAAGUGCGUGAGAGUAACUGUUCACGUUUCAACGGUAUCUAACCAGAAAGCCACGGCUAACUACGUG
rnacentral:rRNA from 1 species